UCCAGUCUUAGAAAAAAAAAAGGAAAUGCCUUUUCCAAAACAAAAGCCAUGUCUAGGGAGCAAUGGGAAGUUGGAAUAAACCCCUCCUAAUUUGGCAGGCAAAACGAAAAUGCCCAUUGCUUAAAGAACUUUUCUACCCUCACAACAGAGCACAGUGAGGCAAGGAUGGAGAACCAUUGCACCAGGCUUCUGCCCCAAAUCUCUAUGAUAGAGGAUAGGAAGGGGCGAAGGGCACAUCUUCUUUCAUUUCUAUGACAAGAAGGAUGGCUGGUCUGUAGUGACAAACGAAAUUACCAAGGAAAAUCUUUUUUUGGGUCUUCACAAACUCCUCACAUUCCAGCAUAUUAUCUUUGGAGUCUGGUUAUGUUGGUGAGUCGAGGACUGCCGAAAUCCUGGUCUAGGCAGCACAAAUUCAUCAUAAUUUAUCGUAAACGCUAGGUUUUUCAGCUUUCAGGAACCCCUUCCCUUGAUGGCGUUGCAUCGGAAAACAUCAGUGACUUCCCCGCGCAGUCCAUUGUGUAUGUACUACUCGGAUAACCAUAGUAAUUCUAGAGCUAAUACGUGCAAGAAAUCCCGACCUCUGGAAGGAAUGCAUUUAUUAGAUAAAAGGCCAGUGCGGGCUUUGCCCGAUGCUUUGGUAAAUCAUGAUAACUCGACGGAUCGCAUGGCCAUUGUGGUGGCGACGCAUCAUUCAAAUUUCUGCCCAAUCAACUUUCGAUGGUAGGAUAGAGGCCUACCAUGGUGGUGACGGGUGACGGAUGACGGAGAAUUAGGGUUCGAUUCCGGAGAGGGAGCCUGAGAAAUGACUACCACAUCCAAGGAAGGCAGCAGGUGCGCAAAUUACCCAAUUCUGACACAGGGAGGUAGUGACAAUAAAUAACAAUACCGAGCUCCAAGAGUCUGGUAAUUGGAAUGAGUACAAUCUAAACCCCUUAACGAGGAUCCAUUGGACAGCAAGUCUGGUGCCAGCAGCCGCGGUAAUUCCAGCUCCAAUAGCGUAUAUUUAAGUUGUUGCAGUUAAAAAGCUCAUAGUUGGAUCUUGGGCUGAGAUCAACCGGUCCGCCUUCAUGGUGUGCACCGGCCGUCCCGUUCCUUCACCCGACGAUGCGUUCCUGGCCUUAACUAACCGGGUCGUGCCUCCGGCACAGUUACUUUGAAGAAAUUAGAGUGCUCAAAGCAAGCCUACGCUCUGAAUACAUUAGCCAGGGAUAACAUCACAGAUUUCGGUCCUAUUGUGUUGGCCUUCGGGAUCGGAGUAAUGAUUAAGAGGGACAGUCGGGGGCAUGGGCAUUCGUAUUUCAUAAUCAGAGGUGAAAUUCUUGGAUUUAUGAAAGACGAACCACUGCGAAAGCAUUUGCCAAGGAUGUUUCAUUAAUCAAGAACGAAAGUUGGGGGCUCGAAGACGAUCAGAUACCGUCCUAGUCUCAACCAUAAACGAUGCCGACAGGGAUCAGCGGAUGUUGCUCUUAGGACUCCGUCGACACCUUAUGAGAAAUCAAAGUCUUUGGGUUCCGAGGGGAGUAUGGUUGCAAGGCUGAAACUUCAAGGAAUUGACGGAAGGGCACCACCAGGAGUGGAGCCUGCAGCUUAAUUUGACUAAACAGGGGGAAACUUACCAGGUUCAUACAUAGUAAGGAUUGACAGACUGAGAGCCCUUUCUUGAGUCUAUGGGAGGUGGUGCAUGGCCAUUCUUAGUUGGUGGAGCGAUUUGUCUGGUUAAUUCCGUUAACGAACGAGACCUCAGCCUGCUAACUAGCUACGUGGAGGUAUCCUCGACGGCCAGCUUCUUAGAGGGGCUAUGGCCGUUUAGGCCAUGGAAGUUUGAGGCAAUAACAGGUCUGUGAAAUUUCUGGGCCGCACACGUGCUACACUGAUGUAUUCAACGAGUAUAUGGCCUUGGCCGACAGGCCUUGAUAAUCUGUCGAAAUUUCAUCGUGAUGGGGAUAGAUCAUUGCAAUUGUUGGUCUUCAACGAGGAAUUCCUAGUAAGCGCGAGUCAUCAGCUCGCGUUGACUACAUCCCUGCCCUGUCGCUCCUACGAAUUGAAUGGUCCGGUGAAGUGUUCGGAUCGCGGCGAUAGAGGCGGUCCGCCGCUGGCGACAUCGCGAGAAGUCCAUUGAACCUUAUCAUUUAGAGGAAGGAGAAGUCGUAACAAGGUUUUCGUAAGUGAACCUGCGAAAGGAUCAUUG
rnacentral:rRNA from 1 species